GUGCCUACAGAGUCCUAAGUGGCUGCAAGCACCUGUUGAAUAAUGGUAGUUGCUCCAAAGUGGUUUUAAAGACUGGAAGAACAAACAAUAGAGUGGUGCCAGGAGGAAGCCAAAUCUUGCAGCCUAUCACCCCAAUGACUGCAUUUCUCAAGAGAUGGAUGGACUCUGUAGAUAAAGAAGGAAAGACUCCUGCUAAUGAAGGGUGUGCUCAAGUAACCAGACUUUCAGACACCACCUUCUAUUUGUGCUACAUUCUCAUAGUGUUCUACUGAUAGUUCUGGAAAAAGGGCUAAAAAGGGAUUAGGGGAGUGCAGCACAUUCUGACCACACUGCCGGACCUGGAAAAUUCACUAUGUCAGGAGAAGAUGGCAUAAAACCAGAUGCUGAGUGACUACAAUCAAUAUGUGCCACACUGAAUAGUUGAUAAAUUGGACUGUGUUCAGAGAAGAGCC